UUCAUCUGGUUGCUCUUUAAAGAUUUACAAAUCUUUUGCUUUUUACUAAAGAUUUCCAUGGAGAAGAACAUUUAUGAAGAAGUGGUUUUGUCAGUGGGCCUGGGGACUACA
ensembl:snRNA U5 U5 spliceosomal RNA